CACUCCGGUGGCCUUAGUGGUUAGAGUGUACACCUUGGAUGCGGGAGGUCGUGGGUUCGAUCCUCCGGUCGAGUCA